AGAGGUGGCAAGCGUUGUACGGAAUUACUGGGCGUAAAGGGCGCGUAGGUGGCCUUCUAAGUCAGACGUGAAAUCCCCCGGCUUAACCUGGGAACUGCGUCUGAUACUGGGAGGCUUGAGUAUGGGAGAGGGAUGUAGAAUUCCAGGUGUAGCGGUGAAAUGCGUAGAUAUCUGGAGGAAUACCGGUGGCGAAGGCGGCAUCCUGGACCAUAACUGACGCUGAGGCGCGAAAGCUAGGGGAGCAAACGGGAUUAGAUACCCCGGUAGUCCUAGCCCUAAACGAUGAAUACUUGGUGUGGCGGGUAUCGAUCCCUGCCGUGCCGAAGCUAACGCAUUAAGUAUUCCGCCUGGGGAGUACGGUCGCAAGGCUA
rnacentral:rRNA from 1 species